AAUAGAUACCCCGGUAGUCCACGCAGUAAACGAUGCAGACUAGGCGUGGGGGGGACUUGACCCCAUCCGUGCCGGAGCCAACGCGGUAAGUCUGCCGCCUGGGGAGUACGGCCGCAAGGCUAAAACUCAAAGGAAUUGACGGGGCCCCGCACAAGCGGCGGAGCAUGCGGAUUAAUUCGAUGCAACGCGUAGAACCUUACCUGGGUUUGACAUGGAUCGGGAGUGCUCAGAGAUGGGUGUGCCUCUUUUGGGGUCGGUUCACAGGUGGUGCAUGGCUGUCGUCAGCUCGUGUCGUGAGAUGUUGGGUUAAGUCCCGCAACGAGCGCAACCCUUGUUCACUGUUGCCAGCACGUUAUGGUGGGGACUCAGUGGAGACCGCCGGGGUCAACUCGGAGGAAGGUGGGGAUGACGUCAAGUCAUCAUGCCCCUUAUGUCCAGGGCUUCACGCAUGCUACAAUGGCUGGUACAGAGAGUGGCGAGCCUGUGAGGGUGAGCGAAUCUCGGAAAGCCGGUCUCAGUUCGGAGUU
rnacentral:rRNA from 1 species